rnacentral:lncRNA from 1 species
GAGCAGUACAACCUUUUGGCCGAGCGCAACACUCUAAAUAACAAGGUGCUGCAGCUUGAAAAUGAUAACAAGCUCUUGGUCUUUUAUAAUUCAAUAGUCAGUCAAGAGUCCUUUACGUCGAAAGUAAACCCUUAUUUAUAGAGCUUAUAAGAAUCUGACCAAUUAAUUUACCUUUUAAUGAUCAUUAAUGAAAACCUUAACCGCUUG